rnacentral:lncRNA from 1 species
AAAAAAAAUGAAUCUGUAAAUAAAAACGAAAAUGGAUCUGAAGUGCAUACCUUACUUCAUAAUUUUCUCGCCGCUGGGUUUGUCAAAAGUGAUGGAGAAACGAAGGAAUCUCUCAAAUUUGUGUGUAGAGAGGAAGCUUGACCCUUUUAGUUCAAAGAAAUCAACAAAAGAUGGAGAGAGAUGAGUAAGAAAAUUUGUAGAUAUUGAAAGAGAAGGAGAAAUUGAAUUUUGAAAUUCAAACGGUAGUAUCAGCGCUGCAAAUGAAAGUGACGUACAGGAGUUUUAACUUGUUCAUCCACGUGUGGGCUUGCCAUGUUUGAAUGAGGUGGGACAGAAGAAGCUUGCAUAGAUUUGGGAUUUUGAUUUGUUUUUGAAUAAAUUGUUUCUUACUUGUUAGCCAAA